GCUGAGUAUGGCCGCCACACGCACCGCGAGCUUGUAGCACCUUACCACUCUAUACACAGCUCUCUGGAGGCUGCUAACUGUCUAUAUUCAUAAUCCUGACAGUCACAUCACUGGCGUAGAAAGAUGGUUGUGAGAGACGCCAGCAAGCCACUCAUAGGCUACCAUUUAGCAGUUUUCCAACCUUACAUCAAAUCUUUUGCAAGUCUGUAACACUCGGAAAGUGUUGGCAACCACAUCAUCAAUCUUGAGAUUUCCAUUGGCACAUGUGAUGGCAACAACAUCAACAGAAGGAAAGAUGGAUAACGCAAGGGGAAUUGAUACCAAACUUCCAAACAAGCAUAAAAGAUGAAACGCAGGGUUCGGAGACAGACCAGGAGGAGAUCGAUCCUCGGCCCAGAACCGG